rnacentral:rRNA from 1 species
CUCGGGAGGCAGCAGUGGGGAAUAUUGGACAAUGGGCGAGAGCCUGAUCCAGCCAUGCCGCGUGUGUGAAGAAGGUCUUCGGAUUGUAAAGCACUUUAAGUUGGGAGGAAGGGCAGUUACCUAAUACGUAUCUGUUUUGACGUUACCGACAGAAUAAGCACCGGCUAACUCUGUGCCAGCAGCCGCGGUAAU